ensembl:lncRNA
CCCUCUCAGAACCAGACAGGGCUUCUCUCCCUGUUUCUUUUCCUCAGUUUUUUUUUUUCUAUCUUGCACUUUUCCUUCUCGCCUCCGCGGACCACUCCUCUCUAUCAGCUGUGAGUUCUGCGUAGCAGGCCUCUGUCCCCUGCCCUCGUCUUGCUCAUCUGGCCUCGUCGGCUUGACUUGAGCGUUGGGAGAGAAACAGAACCGAGGAGGAAGCUGUUCCUAAGGCCAGGCAGCUGCUGAUUAGGUUGUUCCACUGCUGUUCUGUAGGGGCUGAUUCUGUUCCCCCUCCCUGUCAACUCCCAUGUCCUGGUAUGGCCAGCAGCACUAACUCUCUCCCUCCCUCUUUCUCUCUCCCUCCCUCCCUCUCUCAAUCCUUCUGGCACAAACUAAACAACUCACCCUCAUCUCACUUUUCUCCCUCACCCAUUCUCUUCUCAUUCCCCCCUUCCCUUCACCGCCACUGGCUCUCUCGCUCUCUCUCUCGCUUUCUUUCUGGUCGUACCAAACAACUUGACAACAAUGAAGGAAGUUCACACUGGCUUCAUUUCUAUACUAAACCCCCUUCGCCUCUCCCUCUCUCUCUCUCUCUCUCCUCUGGCCUCCUCUCUCAUCUGCUCUCUUUUACUUCCUCACCAUUCUAAACCUUCUUCUCUCUUACCCCCUAUCCUCUCCCCCCUUCUCUCUGGUCUUUCUCUGCAUUUCGUUUUUCUCCCAGCUGGUAGUUUCAGACUCUGUCUGCUCAGUCAGCAGUGAACACAUCCCCAACGGGGAGGGGGGGGUCAGCUGGAGAAGGCAAGCUUCUGAUUGGCUAGGGAAAGUGCAGGGGAAGCCAAGGCGCCACCCACCUGCUCUGACUGUUUUUUUUUUUUUUUAGGAGAGUAGUAUAUGGUCCAAGGAAAUGAUCUGUGUGCGCGCGAGUGUGUGUUUAACUAGUGUGUUGACGUACAGUAGUGUGUACAAGUAAAAAUACAUAAUCUACUUUUAAAAUGUCCUGUUCUGUGUUUGCAUUGGUGUGUGUGUGUGUGUUUGUGUGUGUACGCAAGUGUUCAAUCAUCGUGCUGGGUCUGCCGGUUUGUGUUGUCACCCAAAACCUCGAGCCCUAUCACCAUGCAGAUGACGACAGACGUACACACGCACACACCCACACGCAGGCACGCACACGCACGCACGCACACGCACGCACGCACGCGCCCUAACAGGAACUGCUGUG